rnacentral:lncRNA from 1 species
GAAUAUUGAAUAUAAAUACACUACUUGACAUCUUAAGUCAUUUGGUAAAGCAUUCUUAUUAUAACUUAAUCAUGUCAUAUGAUAAAUGUGUUUAGAUCGGUUUCUCUCUUUUGCGUAUAUAUAUGUAUGAUAUAGUCUUUUGUAUAUUGCAAUCAUAGUUGUGGUAACAAUCUCUAAGAUUUUGAAGAAUGGGCUCACAACAAAGAAGAGUAGAGAAGAGUAAACCUAGCUAUCUUUCUUCUACUAUCUGUAAAUCAUUAUCUUUUUUUUUUUAAUUCAAGAAUUUUUUUUGUCUUUGUUCUCUGUUAAAUAACAUAUGGAGGUGUUAACGAAAGAUGAGAGAAAAAGAAGAAUGGUUCAAAAGGUAAAGGGAAGUUUUCUUAUUUUAAUGUGAGCUUUAUUAACUACAUCCUCUUAUUUACAUCAUUUUGGGUGUGAAAUUGUUGCAGACUGAGAUAAUGUUGUGAAAUCAUACAAAAUUGACUUUGUCUUUCCACCAAAAACCAACGACAAUACUCUUAGAGGCGAAUGCAUGCAUACAAGUUUGACUUCUCGAAGAACAAGAAGUUAAUGCCAACGAGAGACACCACUGAAGAAGAAGGAACAAUAUCUCCUUUAUUAUAAUAUAUGCUUGAUUUGUUUUGUUUUGUUUGUAACAUCAAAACAUAAUAUAUGAUAGUAAUUGUUUGUUUAGCAAGAAAUAGUAUUUUUCACUUCUGCUUCCAUUUAGUAUAUUGAACAAUAUAGAUAUGAACAAUAUAUGAUUCAGCAAAUUGAAGCUAAAAUC